rnacentral:rRNA from 1 species
GCCAGCAGCCAUAUCACCCUGCAGCACAAGACUGGUUACCCACUGAAGCUAAGCAGGGCUGAGCCUGGCCAGACCUCCUGGGAAAAACUAGGUUGCUGCUGGAA